AAGAAUAGCUGCCUUAGGUGACUGUGAACGGAAGAGACCACAACGCCUUCAGCAUCAGCUUGAAAAAAUAACAACCAAAAUGACCCGAUUUGGCAGCAUGAGCAAAGCUAUGUCAUUUACAGAUCCUCUGCUAUGUAAUUGCCCUAAAGGUCUUCUAUACAUCUUAAAGGAAAAAUAGGCUAAAAAUGCAAAUCUAACUAACCUGAAGGAGAGACUGCCAUCUGCUGGACGUUAUCUUCAAACUUCUGCCAACGCAACCCAGAACUAGAUUCUUUUCAAAAACAACACUUCUGCAGGAGAACAAUAUGAAUGUGGAAAGGUGUUCAACAAGAGUGGGGAAACUGAAGGAAAAGGUAAUGAAGAAACAAGCUGAAAAAUAGCAAUCUUGCCUGAAACUGUUCCCACUGCAACAAGAUCAUCAAAGCAGUUUAAGAGUUUCACAAUGGUAAUGGAUUCAUUCUUCCCCUAAUAAAACAAAAACAAAAUAAUGAUUAUGAAAUGAAGAAAUAAACUUGUUUCAGGUCAGGAGAUACUAUUUUUAAAUUAGGAGUUGGACAUGGUUUAAAUACUAUCAGCAUAAAAAGAAAGAAUUAAAAAAAGAAUCUCAAAAUGUUGAUCUGACAAAUGACUAGCUUGAUUAAAGCAAGAGGUAUGAAAUUAGAAGUAUAAAAAGUGGGCUGCAGUCAUCA